rnacentral:rRNA from 1 species
CAGCACCGCGGGAAUACGAAGGGUGCAAGCGUUACUCGGAAUUACUGGGCGUAAAGCGUGCGUAGGUGGUGGUUUAAGUCCGUUGUGAAAGCCCUGGGCUCAACCUGGGAAUUGCAGUGGAUACUGGAUCACUAGAGUGUGGUAGAGGAUAGUGGAAUUUCCGGUGUAGCAGUGAAAUGCGUAGAGAUCGGAAGGAACAUCUGUGGCGAAGGCGACUAUCUGGGCCAACACUGACACUGAGGCACGAAAGCGUGGGGAGCAAACAGGAUUAGAUACCCCGGUAGUCCCUGUCUCUUAUACA